rnacentral:lncRNA from 1 species
UGAGGCUGGGAAAGGUGAGACAGGAUGGGGUUCCUUUGCAGUGGGGGGUGAUCAGUGGCAUUGACCCAGAGGAGGGCUCGUCUCCCAGGGCAGUGAAUACAGCCCAUAGGAGGAGGAAGAUAAGCCCAGGUCCCUGCAAAGAAAGCCAAGUCCCUCUCCCAGGAAGGAGGACACACCCCCCCCCGCCACACACACACACACACACACACACACACACACACACGAGUGAACUGUCUGUCAAGCUGGGGAAACUUGGCCAGCCUAAGACCUCAGCCAAGGCGAGAAAAGACCAUUAGGAGUCUCCUAGCAGAGACUGUGGGUUUCUGAAAGUGGUGCUGGCUGAGCCCCGGGGGGGGCGCCUGGGGAGCAAAAAGGUCUUGCAGAGAGGGCAUGGCCUGAGCGAAAAAUCACAGGUUCCGGAAAUGCAGAGGCUGUAAUGCAGUGAGAGAGAGAGAGAUGGAGGAGUGUCCAUCCAGGAGCCGAAGCCACCCAAGACGGAGCAGAAGGCACGGAGGUUCCUCCCCAAGCCCUGGAGUUCUCCACCCUUCCACUCUGGGGUCUCCAAGCCUCUCCACACAGCAGCAGCAGCAGCAGCAGCAGCAGCAGCAGAUGAAGCCGCUAACACAGAAGUAUGACUUCCUGCAUUUCCCCUCUGCCCAAGGGCCUCAGGCAGCUUCUCACCGCACUAGGAUGCGUCUACACUCAGCCACACUGGCCUUUUUGUUCCUCACACAGACCGCGGGGGUGGGGGGGCUUGUUCCACCACAGGGCCUUUGCACUUGCUAUGUGGCUGACAGCAGUUAUUCUCAUCUCAGUCCUUGAGAGCCUCUUCAGGGUAGCCGCCACCUAGCCAGCCUGGCUGAAUGAAUACCUCUGGAGAAUUCCUGUAUCACAUCACCCUGCUUGAUUUUCUUCAUAGCACUUAUCAUCACCAGACUCCAUUUGGUUUAAAAUAUAUAUAUUUUUUAGAUUUUUAUUUAUUUGACAGAGAUCAUAAGUAAGCAGAGAGGCAGGCAGAGAGAGAGAGGAGGAAGCAGGCUCCCCGCUGAGCAGAGAGCCCAAUUCGGGACUCGAUCCCAGGACCCUAAGAUCACGACCUGAGCCGAAGGCAGAGGCUUAACCCACUGAGCCACCCAGGCACCCCAUCUGUUUAUGUGUGUACCAGCGCUCUGUAAGAACAGAGUUGGGUCUGCCUUGCUCCCCACUGCACCCCAGCCCUGGGCACACUCCCCUACCCCCACCUGGUUGGCGCCCUGCUCACUGCCC